rnacentral:rRNA from 1 species
GACGUAGGAUGCAAGCGUUGUCCGGAUUUAUUGGGCGUAAAGAGUUCGUAGGCUGUUUGUUAAGUCUGGUGUUAAAGACUGGGGCCCAACCCCGGAAAUGCAUCGGAUACUGGCAGACUUGAGUACGGCAGAGGCGAGUGGAAUUCCCAGUGUAGCGGUGAAAUGCGUAGAUAUUGGGAAGAACACCGGUGGCGUAGGCGACUCGCUGGGCCGCAACUGACGCUGAGGAACGAAAGCCAGGGGAGCGAAUGGG